rnacentral:rRNA from 1 species
UACCAGCACCCCGAGUGGUCGGGACGUUUAUUGGGCCUAAAGCAUCCGUAGCCGGUUCUACAAGUCUUCCGUUAAAUCCACCUGCUUAACAGAUGGGCUGCGGAAGAUACUAUGGAGCUAGGAGGCGGGGAGAGGCAAGCGGUACUCGAUGGGUAGGGGUAAAAUCCGUUGAUCCAUUGAAGACCACCAGUGGCGAAGGCGGCUUGCCAGAACCGCGUUCGACGGUGAGGGAUGAAAGCUGGGGGAGCAAAC